CUUUGGCCUGUAUUUUCAUUGACAAGUAAAAAAGCGGGCUGGAUGGAAACACUGACCCUCCAGUUCAGCAUAAGACCCAUCACUUCCCGAGAAGCCCUAUUUAGGGAUGCUGGCAUCAGUUUCCACUUCUCCACAAGGAAGGGGCAUCAAAGUCUUCCCCCACUUGCAAGACAGAAACUCUGUCAACAGCCUGGAGAAGCUUUAAUAAAACUCCUCUGCACACGCCAGGGCAGCACAUCUUCCAGAAACAAGAAUGGACUAUAGUGCAAGUGAGAAGCUGUGGGGAGAGGCGCAACCUCAUGGACAGGGUCUCUGUCCUUGGGAGCCCCGGGCCGCUCCACACCGCUGACUAUAGGGCAGGGAGAGAAUCGCCCCUUCCCCAGUUACUCGCUGAUUCCCCCAACAGCAGGUUUUGGUUGAGCAUCCACAGGGCGUGUUACCAAGUGCCCCACACCCAGUGCCUCACAGGAGAGAGCCGGGUGUGCGCAGGCACAAAUGGGUGUGUGCUCAUGACCGAGGUGCCCUGAUAGCAGUUUAGAGGACACGUUCCCCCCUGGCUGGCCUGGAGCUUAUCUGGUGCCUAAACAAGUGGACUUGUAUGGAUGGAACUUUUGGGCCUAAGGUGAUUACCGAGUCCCAGAGAUGAGACCCCCCGUGGGGAUACGCCGCUCAAACAACAAACUCAGAUGCCCUUCCUAGUCCUUUCCAAGUCUAUCCCACCCUCCUCAGCCACACAGCAGGCGUAAGGCACCCCUGGGGCCCUGCUGCCAGAAUGUGAAGGACUCAGCAGCCUCCGGAGGCAGAAAAGGAUGGAAAUUCUUUUCCUUUAGACACUAAUGCAUCUUACCGAUUUAAAUUGGGCUGGCAGUUGUACUCCCUUAGGGAGUGCUAAAAAUGCAACCGUUAGUUGAGCUUACCCUUCCUUCCUCUACCACUUGCUUGCUGUGUGACCUUUGGCAAGAAACUUUACCUCUCUGAAGCAGUCAGUCCUUCACUUCCACCAGAGGCUGCUUCUGUCAUUCCUUCAGCAGCUCCUUCAGCUCCUCCAAACUGGCUCUCUUCUCCCCCAUUUCCUGCCUCUUAAAUUUCCCUUUAUCCCUCACCCUGCCUAAAGCCAGUGGGCAGCCGGUCCUAUUAGAAAUCUCAUUCACACUUGAGGAGGCUGCAAACGGCAUCACUCGGUGGGUGUCUGCCCUUGACUGGAGGAGAGGGCCCUGGACUGGGCAGGAGGGGUGGAGCCGGGGAACAGUGGCAGAAGAAGGGAUUCGAGUCUCUCCCAGGCAGCCCUCCGCAUCCAGGGCUGGUGCAGAGACAGAAGCCGAAGAAUCCUGCCUCAGUGAAACAGACAUGCGGGGAGAGAAGAGGGGUGCACUCCUGAUCUGAAAGAUGGAAUUACCUGGAGGACUGAUGAGAAGGGACUUGAUGUCUCAUCAAGGAUGAACAUUCUAAAACCACUUAACAAGUCUACACCCCUUAAGCCCUUCAUCACAUUCCCGAAAAUCCUCAGCUGCCUAUAAAACCCCUAGACAAUGCACAACUACUGGCUCUCUUGUCCCCUUCUGGCACCAGCC